GAUGAACGCUGGCGGCGUGCUUAACACAUGCAAGUCGAGCGAGAAGCUACCUAUUGAACCUUCGGGUGAUUUAGGUAGUGGAAAGCGGCGGACGGGUGAGUAACGCGUGGGUAACCUGCCCUAUGCAGGGGGAUAACACAUUGAAAAGUGUGCUAAUACCGCAUAAGACCACAGAGUCGCAUGACUUGGUGGUAAAAACUCCGGUAGCAUAGGAUGGACCCGCGUCUGAUUAGCUAGUAGGUAAGGUAACGGCUUACCUAGGCGACGAUCAGUAGCCGACCUGAGAGGGUGAUCGGCCACAUUGGGACUGAGACACGGCCCAAACUCCUACGGGAGGCAGCAGUGGGGAAUAUUGCACAAUGGGGGAAACCCUGAUGCAGCGACGCCGCGUGAAGGAAGAAGGUUUUCGGAUCGUAAACUUCUAUCAGCAGGGAAGAUAGUGACAGUACCUGACUAAGAAGCCCCGGCUAACUACGUGCCAGCAGCCGCGGUAAUACGUAGGGGGCAAGCGUUAUCCGGAUUUACUGGGUGUAAAGGGUGCGUAGGCAGCGAAGUAAGUCAGAUGUGAAAGCCCGAGGCUCAACCUCGGGACUGCAUUUGAAACUGC
rnacentral:rRNA from 1 species